rnacentral:piRNA from 1 species
UGGUAUGCUCGGCCGGUUACACAUUAACU